rnacentral:misc_RNA from 1 species
GGUAGUAAAAGUCGUAACAAGGUUUCCGUAGGUGAACCUGCGGAAGGAUCAUUAGUGAAUGAGACCUCCGGUUUCAAACACCUGCUGCUUUCAGCUGUGCGCCUUCGGGCUUGCACGUUGGAUGUAGCAGAUUCACAACACACCUGUGCACCUUUCAGAUGUCUAGGGCUGAAAAGCCCUGGCGUUUGCCCUUUACACAAAACACAGUCUUUGAAUGUCAUAUAAACUUAAACAAAUACAACUUUCAACAACGGAUCUCUUGGCUCUC